GUCAGCUUAUUCGUUUGCAGACUGGAAAAAUGGCGAACAGCCAUCAAAAUACUAAUUCAAAAUACACAAAAAUGGGUGCGCGGAGCAAAAUUCAGCCCUAAUGGCGAAUGUAUGCGAACGUUCACCGGGGGAAGAGGUAUGGGACGGCAGCUGGCAUGGCAUCCAGAUGGCAAUCUGGUGGCUUUAGCAUUAAGUUGUAACCGCGUUAAGAUAUUUGACAAAGCUGAAGGCGAGCUAAUACAGUGCAUUCGUCGCCGGAGAAUGAUGUUGCAUUUCACCCAAGUGGAAAUUUCUUGGUGACUGGCGGCGAUGACGAUACAAUAAGAUUGCUUGAUUUAUUAGAAGGUCGGCCAAUUUAUACACGGUAGUAGGGCACUUUAGCGGAACCAGGUCAAAAUGGACGGGAAAAUUAUACACUAACUGGCUACUAAGUUUGCGCUGUCGCUUUCUCUCCACAUGGUAGACAUUUUGCUUCCGCGGGCGAGGAUCGACAGUUGCUCGUUUGGAAAUCUAAUUUGCGUACGUUUGAUGCCAAUAGCGCUCGCAACAAACAAGCCAGUUCUCAAAGAGUCGAAAUUGAUUUUAGUCAUGCAACUGCUCCACAUAACUCCGCCAUAGACACACCAGUUGCUGGAGUACCAAAAAGCUGUGAUGAAGGUAUUUUAAUUGAUCCACGACAAUCCGUGGCAUAUGGAAUGCGUGAUGGAAAUUUUCUGGUGCUUGAUAGCCAAUAUACUACAAGAGAACCAUCUCCAAGCAACUUUACCACACCACAUUGUCAGUAACAUAAGCAACAGCAGUACCUCGUUUCUACACAUGCCAAACAAAAAUUUCGUUCGCGCUUAACUGCUUGGAAGGCUGCUGAUGACUCUUCAUAGAAAAUGCAUUGUUUGUAAUUUAUUAAAUGUGAUGUGUACAUACUUAUGUAUUUCUGUUUGUAUUUUAAACUAUGUACGUUAACAAUUUACAUUGUAUUAAAUUAUUACUUGUAUUAUUAUUAACCUAUUACACUUUAUUUAAAAUAAAACGAGUCAUUUGUAUUUUCUGAUAAAAAUAUAUUUAUUUAAAUUCUUAUUGCUCUUCCACACCACCGCUGAGGUAGCAAUACAGGCGCGUUACCGAUUUUUUUAAGGUGUUCGGUUCCCCAGGAGGCCUAUUUUCACCCAUAU